AAAAUUUGAGAAUUGUAUCUCAACAUUAAUAAAUUGAUUAACGAUGGUAAUAUAUUAAGUACCUAUUUAAAAUUUAAAUACAUAUAUAACUCUUUUUGUUUAUUUCAGGAAAAAAAGCUAUCCUAUAAGCACUAUCAAUAAUAAAUAAAUACAGAAAAGAAAUGCCGGGUAUACCUUUACCACUCGAACCUUUGAAAAAUUAAAGAUAAUUUAAUAAAUAUUCCUGGUCCAAAUUGGAAAAAAAUUUAAAAAAAUGAACAAAAUAAAGAGUAUAAUACUUUAAAGUCUUACUAUGAAGGCAUAUCAGGUAAAGCAAAUGUUAAUUUAGAUGUAACGCCUACUUUAUUAAACUGUUUUAAAUACGCACCAAUAAUUAGUGUAGACGUAGAACAUAGUUUUUCUUUGUACAAAUAUAUUUUAAGUAAUAGAAAAUUUAAUUUUAAUGAAAAUAAUUU